rnacentral:tRNA from 1 species
GGAGGGGUGGCAGAGCGGUUGAAUGCACUGGUCUUGAAAACCAGCGUGUCGAGAGGCACCCAGGGUUCGAAUCCCUGCCCCUCCGCCA